GUUCCUGUGUUUAUAAAGGGCAGUAACCCUCAGUACUCUGUUAUACAGCGGAGAAACGGUGACUUGAAGUUGGCAGAAUAGCUAAAUAUUUCACCAGACAUGAAGCUGAUGCUAGUGCUGCUUGUGCUGCUUCCUCUUGUGAGCUCCUUCAUCAAUAUCGUCUUCCGUCGAGAAGGAAGCCGCAGGAAGGAAAGUAAAGCGCAAAGUCUGUCUGCACUGCAGAAAAGGGAGGACGAUCGACGGUCGUUUAUGGAGAGUGAGGAAGAGAGAAAAGUAAUCGACGAUUAUAAACAGACAGAUGGUGACAGCAAAACGGAUGCUAUCCGCAAGUGAAACAGACUACACGCAGCAAGGUCAGUGGCCAAUAAAAAGGUUUCUCUCCUUGAAUGAUGCAGCCGUAUUUUUGAAAAGUUAUUAAACGGUUAUGUCACCAA